CUUCGUCAAUUUGCUGUGGGCAGAUGAAAUGAAUAUGGGCAUCAAUCCCCCCAGCGGUCAGAAUCUGACCUUCACCGGCAAUAAUCUCGGUACCUGGGCCUAUGAUGAUAUCGAUACCGUGCUGGGUAUCUGGAUUACCCGCUUUACCGAUACCGGCAAUACGACCGUUUUUGAUACCGACAUCGGCUUUAAUAAUACCCCAGUGAUCGACGAUAAGCGCAUUGGUGAUAACCAAAUCCAUCGCCAAAACUCCAGCUACCUGGCUUUGACCCAUGCCGUCACG
rnacentral:sRNA from 1 species